rnacentral:lncRNA from 1 species
CUUCCAGAGUUAAUGCACUCUAGAAGAACUUCCUGAUUUGUUACUGGGUCCACUAUGCUGGUUGGCUUAGAAGCAUCAGCCAGGGGGAUAUCCAAACAUUUCACUACCUCACUUCUUGUUUUAGCUCUUUUCUUCUUAUGACGACUCUUCAGCUUAUUCUUCAUGUGAGGUUCUGCUUCUGCACCUGCUAUUCCACUAAUUAAAAGCCUUCCUGAAGGCUUC